rnacentral:sRNA from 1 species
AGGAAGGAGAAGUCGUAACAAGGUUUCCGUAGGUGAACCUGCGGAAGGAUCAUUGUCGAUUGCCUGACCGAAAGACCGUGAACUUGUGAUCGGAUGCCACCAGGGUUGUCGGGCAAGCUCGGCCUCCCUGGAACCCUGCCGCCCUCUUUUGUAGCGACCCUGCGUUGCGCGGAUGGGGGUGGUACGGGAUAACGAAACCCCGGCGCUGCAUGCGCCAAGGAACAUAUAUGACCGGAUGGACGUGCGCCUAUGCCCUUGCGGCUGGGCAACGACCGCUGAACAUUACCAUACGACUCUCGGCAACGGAUAUCUCGGCUCUCGCAUCGAUGAAGAACGUAGCGAAAUGCGAUACUUGGUGUGAAUUGCAGAAUCCCGUGAACCAUCGAGUCUUUGAACGCAAGUUGCGCCCGAGGCCUUCCGGCCGAGGGCACGCCUGCCUGGGCGUCACGCAUCGCGUCGCUCUAUGCUCCUGACCCCCAAAGGGCAGUGGUGUUGAUGCGGAAAUUGGCCCUCCGUGCCUUGUGUGCGGUGGGCUAAAGAGAGGGCUGCCAGCCAGGUGCGGCACGGCAAGUGGUGGACGUAGCGCCAGCAGGAUGCCGUGGCCUCCCU